GGGCCCAUAGCUCAACGGCAGAGCAAGCGGCUCAUAACCGCUGGGUUCUUGGUUCGAAUCCGAGUGGGCCCACCA
rnacentral:tRNA from 1 species